UACGUAGGGGGCAAGCGUUGUCCGGAAUCAUUGGGCGUAAAGAGCGUGUAGGCGGCCAGAUAAGUCCGCUGUGAAAUCUCGAGGCUCAACUUCGAGCUGUCGGUGGAAACUGUCUGGCUAGAGUCCGGAAGAGGAGAAUGGAAUUCCUGGUGUAGCAGUGAAAUGCGUAGAUAUCGUAAGGAAGACCAGUGGCGAAGGCGAGUCUCUGGACAGCAACUGACGCUGAGGCACGAAGGCCAGGGGAGCAAACGGG
rnacentral:rRNA from 1 species